rnacentral:rRNA from 1 species
UACGUAGGGUGCGAGCGUUGUCCGGAAUUAUUGGGCGUAAAGAGCUCGGUAGGCGGCUUGUCGCGUCGGACUCGUGAAAAUCCCGCGGCUCAACUGCGGGUCUGCAGUCGAUACGGGCAGGCUAGAGUUCGGGAGGGAGGAAUGGAAUCCCGGUGUAGCGGUGAAAUGCGUAGAUAAUCGGGAGGAACGCCGGUGGCGAAAGCGAUUCUC